rnacentral:rRNA from 1 species
UACGUAGGGGGCAAGCGUUGUCCGGAUUUAUUGGGCGUAAAGAGCGUGUAGGAGGCUAGAUAGGUCCGUUGUGAAAACUCGAGGCUCAACCUCGAGACGUCGAUGGAAACCAUCUGGCUAGAGUCCGGAAGAGGAGAGUGGAAUUCCUGGUGUAGCGGUGAAAUGCGCAGAUAUCAGGAAGAACACCCGUGGCGAAGGCGGCUCUCUGGUACGUGACUGACGCUGAGACGCGAAAGCGUGGGGAGCAAACAGG